UGUUAUGUUGACUUGUGUUUUAGGUAUGUGUUAGCAGUUAGCUCUUCGUUUGUCUCUUUUAUAAUGUUGUGGACUAAUCGUUUGUUAUUUCAUUUUAGCCUGUCUUUUCCUUUGUUUUCUGUCGAUGGCCAUGAGUUUAAUGACUGCUGUUUAUUCAGGAUUCUCCCUUUCGUCCUGGGCGAUUAAAUGCGCCGUUCCUGACGUUUUUUUCCUGUCGCGCCGUGAACUUUCGGUUACUCGGAAGUCUUAGUUGAUACGGAGAUCUAUUACCCGCUACCUGCUUCCCGCUACCUGCUUCCCGCUACCUGCUACCUGCUAUCUGCUACCUGCUACCUGCUAUCUACUACUGAUCCCUGUGAUUGUGAUUUGUGUUACUGGUUAUUAUUGUUUGUUUUGUUUUGUUUAAAGUGGUUCUGCUUGAGGGCAUCUAUUUGAUUAUGGAGUAGCCGGUGCCCUGUGUGGAUUUUGCUCCUCCAUUGUGGAACUACAAAAAUUGUAUUCUUUUUCUUUCCUUUUUUAUAAUUUGUGUAUUUUUUGUUUUGUUGGACAUUUUGUAUUGUUUAUAUUCAACAUUAGUUUGCCUUGGUUGAAUUUGUUUGUUCGUUUCCCUUUCCUUUUCUUGUGACAUUAUUGCCUGGAUUAGUGUGUAAGGUUUUGGUUUGUGUAAUACACAUUGCAUAUACUCAUUUUAUUUUUAUCUUCUUACAGGAGCUGGGGUUCCACGGGUGCAGGAGCUUGAGGUGGUGGUGUCACUUCAUCAUUUGCUGUGGACACGUUUGUGUGUGCAGUGAGUGUGUCGGGGUGUGUGUGUGUGUGUGGAGGUGUAAGUGUGCUUUUGGCUAAAUUCAGCACUGGUGAUCACUCCCGUGGGUGACCUCAGCCCUUUACCAUUGGAGAGUGCUGCCGGCAGUAGGUGAUGAGGAUUCAAUGUGACUUUUAAAUGGUGAAACAAUUGUGAAAAUAAAUUUUGUACUUUCAUGCUUUA